CUACGGGGCGCUGCAGUUAGGGAUAUUCGGCAAUGGGGGAAACCCUGACCGAGCAAUGCCGCGUGAAUGAAGAAGUAUUUCGAUAUGUAAAGUUCUGUUGUUAAGGAAGAAAGGUACGAAUAGGAAAUGAUUCGUAAUUGACGGUACUUAACCAGAAAGCCCCUGCUAACUACGUGCCAGCAGCAGCGGUAAUACGUAGGGGGCGAGCGUUAUCCGGAAUUAUUGGGCGUAAAGGGUGCGUAGGCGGCCUGUCAAGUCCGAGUUGAAAGCCCACGGCUUAACCGUGGAGGGUGCUCGGAAACUGAUAGGCUUGAAUCCAGAAGAGGCGAGUGGAAUUCUAUGUGGAGCGGUGGAAUGCGUAGAUAUAUGGAGGAACACCAGUGGCGAAAGCGGCUUGCUGGGCUGGUAUUGACGCUGAUGCACGAAAGCGUGGGGAGCAAACAGGAUUAGAUACCCUGGUAGUC
rnacentral:rRNA from 1 species